CAGCUCAAACUGGUGCCGCUGCUCACGCUGCUCUUCUGCCUCGGACGGCUGGUGUACUGGGUGGCUGCAGUGUUCCAGAGCAGUAUCCGGGCCUUCAGGUUUGGGUUGUCCUUUCUUCCAUCCCUCGCCAUGAUUGCAGCCAAUCUGUACUUCCUGGUUACCAUGGAGAUGAGUGGCGGUGCUUUCAGCCCACCUCAGAAAGAGCAGGCCCCGCCUCAAGGACGCCAGCGCUUCUGGGGCUGAGCGGUGGACCAGGACUUAACCCCGAACUGUGCCAUUAAAAUCCCAACAGCUCAGGAUAUGGCCAUAACAAUAUUUAGUUUUUGUGAUGUUUUUCUAUGAUUCAGUGAUUUUGGUAAAGAUGCUGCUUCA
ensembl:lncRNA